GACAGAGGGUGCAAACGUUGUUCGGAAUUACUGGGCGUAAAGCGCGUGUAGGCGGUUCGGCAAGUCGGAUGUGAAAGCCCUGGGCUCAACUCAGGAAGUGCACUCGAAACUGCCGAACUGGAGUCCUGGAGAGGAAGGCGGAAUUCUCGGUGUAGAGGUGAAAUUCGUAGAUAUCGAGAGGAACACCGGUGGCGAAGGCGGCCUUCUGGACAGUGACUGACGCUGAGACGCGAAAGCGUGGGGAGCGAACGGG
rnacentral:rRNA from 1 species